AGUGAACGCUGGCGGUAGGCCUAACACAUGCAAGUCGAACGGCAGCACAGUAAGAGCUUGCUCUUACGGGUGGCGAGUGGCGGACGGGUGAGGAAUACAUCGGAAUCUACUUUUUCGUGGGGGAUAACGUUGGGAAACUUACGCUAAUACCGCAUACGACCUACGGGUGAAAGCAGGGGAUCUUCGGACCUUGCGCGAUUGAAUGAGCCGAUGUCGGAUUAGCUAGUUUGCGGGGUAAAGGCCCACCAAGGCGACGAUCCGUAGCUGGUCUGAGAGGAUGAUCAGCCACACGGGAACUGAGACACGGUCCAGACUCCUACGGGAGGCAGCAGUGGGGAAUAUUGGACAAUGGGCGCAAGCCUGAUCCAGCCAUACCGCGUGGGUGAAGAAGGCCUUCGGGUUGUAAAGCCCUUUUGUUGGGAAAGAAAAGCAGCAGGUUAAUACCCCGCUGUUCUGACGGUACCCAAAGAAUAAGCACCGGCUAACUUCGUG
rnacentral:rRNA from 1 species